GAACUGCCUUUGAGCUCUUGGCGCCCUUCCUCAUGGCACCUGGGGUUAAGCUGGGGCCCCAUAGCAAUUGCUAGAGCAUAACUGGGACCACCUGCCCAUAGCCAGCAGCCCUUUUAACUGCUAGCUACAGGC